UCCCUAGUGGUCUAGUGGUUAGGACUCUGCACUUUCGCUGCUGAAGGCUGUGGUUCAAUCCCUGGUAGGGGAA
rnacentral:tRNA from 1 species